GGGCAGACACACUGAAGUCGCUAGACAUUUGAGGAACACAUCCGGGGAAGAAGACACAGGUGGCUGGUCAUGGAGAGCCCGCUGGGGGAAGAGCACACAGACAGGCACCGGCAGGCCAUUGACCAGCGGGACAAGGUGGGCUCAAUGUCAUCACAAGGGUGCUUAAGAGGGAAAGAGGAAGCCAUGAGGGUCAGAGUCAAAGGAAGACUUGAAGAUACUACACUGCGGACUUUAAAGAUGAAGGAAGGGGCGAAAACCAAGAAUGUGGGAAGCCUCUAGAAGCUAGAGAAGGCAAGGAAACAAAUUUUCCACUAGAGCCUCCAGAAGGAACACAGCCCUGCUGACCCACUGUAAUGUCUGACCUCUAGAUGUGUAAGGGUAGUAAGACUGAAAGUCUCAGAAAGGCACUGUUAAAUUCUUAUUCCUCAACUAUGCAACUCAAAACUGGGGUCCUCAGCAGUGAGCGAGGGGUGAGAGAAGACACUGUAUAAACAUGGCACAUCCUCCUGGAAAGUCAACUUUACUCAAAGGUUCUUACACACAGUGACAGCUAGCAGAGUCUAAAAUGCUGACAUUAUGACUUAGAGAUGUGAUAAAGAGAAACAUCUAUUGCAUUUUCUAAAACAUUUGCCAGUUCCCAGUCUACACUUACACUGUCCAAUGGAAAUACAAUGCAAACCAGAAGUGUAAUUGUGGAUUAGGUGCCGCUGUUGCUGCUUGAGUGUGUUGAAUUCAGAACCAUAGCCAGACAUGGGACUGGAAGAUGAGUGAAAGAUACUGACCAGGUCCGAAGAUCUCAUGGAGGAGGAAGAGCAAGAGGAGGAAUUACUGGAUCCCCCAACAACAGAAAGAGAGCAAUGCAAGCAGCUGGAGAAAUGUGUAAAGGCCAGGAGUGGCUAGAGCUCUGUGAUGAGUGUAUAUCCUUCCAGUCACAAAGAAGAGAAUGCCAUGGAGGAGCUUUGGACUUUUUGCAUGCAAGGGACCACUGAGUGACCCACAAACUCUUUAACAGCUUGAAAUAAAUGUGCAGACAUAUUUACUUCAGCCUUCAUCACCUUGGCAUAAGGAUCUUUCCUUAUGGUUUUGAAUAUGCCAUUUGCUUCUAAUUUGUGUAACUGUAAGUUUAUAUUAACCUCGUGGAUUUUGGCUUCGACAAGUAGCUUCUAGGUAAUUAGCAGUGAUUCUAUCUUAAUGAAGUUCUGUGAUCUACAAAAACAAGGUUUCCUCAGCCAAAUAUCCAAUUUCUUUGCUCACAAAUUCUACCUUCCACAAAACACUAGAACAUGAACACAAUUCAACCAAGUUCUCUUCCAGUUUAUAAUGAGAAUUGCCUUUCUUCCAUUGCCCAAUAACAUGUUCCUCUUCCUCAUUUCCAUCUGAGUCUUCAUCAGAAUAGCCUUUAUUGUCCAUAUUUCUACCAACGUUCUGUUCGUGACCACUUUGGAAUUCUGUAAGAAGAUUGAGGUUUUCUCUACAGCAAACUUUCCUCCUUUCUCUCUGGGACUUCAUCAGAAUUGCCCUUCGUGGGACAUUCAUGGCAAUGUAGGUUUUUUUUUGUUUUUGUUUUUAUUUUCUUUUUCUAGCAUGAACCUUGAAACUCUUCCAGCCUCAACGCAUUACCCAAUUCCAAAGCUGCUUCCACAUUUCUAGGCAUUUGUUACAGCAACAUGCCCACUUCUUGACACAAAAAUCUGUAUUAAGAUUCUCCAGAGAAAAAGAACUAAUAAGAUCUAUGUACAUAUAAAUAUUUAUUAUGAAAAUUGGCUCACACAAUCAUGAGGCUGAGAAGUCCCAUGACCUGCCGUCUGCAAGCUGCAGGCCCAAGGAAGUCAAUGGUGUAAGUCCCAGUUUGAGCCUGAGGGUCUGAGAACCAGGAGUACCAAUGCCCAAGGGCAGAAGAAGAUGGAUGUCCCAGCUCUAAGAAAGACAGCAAAGUUGCCUUUUCCCCAGCUUUGUGUUCUAUUUGGGCCCUCAACAGAUUGGAUGAUACCCACCCAUGUUGAUGAGAGUGAUCUUUACUCAUUCCACUGAUUCAAAUGCUAAUCUCUUCUGGAAACACUCUCAUAAAUACCCCCAGAAAUAAUAUUUACCUGCCACCAUUCAUCCCUUAUUAGUUCAGUCAAGUUGACACACAAACUUAACCAUCACAGUAACCAACUUCGGUAGUAAAAAUAGUGUAUGUUUUUAAAUGUCUUACAUUUCCCAAACAGUUUCAAACAUAUUAUUUCCCAUGAUCCUUUGGCAACCUUGUGUAGGAUUGUUUUCUGUUUUUUUCUUCUUAUUUCACAGCUGAAGACACUGAAACUCAGAGAUGUUAAGUGACCUCCCUGAAGACAAUACACAGCUAAAAGAAUAGAGCCAGGACACAGGAUAAGUUCUGCAUUAGAGUAAGAUGUCCUUCCUAGUGCUAUGUUGCCUGUCUAGUUCAUUUGUUAAUCUAUUAAAAAAGUAAACAUACAAAAAUUUCUCAGCAUCACUAAUGAUCAGGGAAAUGCAAAUCAAAACCACAAAGUGAUACCACCUUACUCCUGCAAGAAUGGCCAUAAUAAAAAAAUGAAAAAAUAAUAGAUGUUGGUGUGAAUGCAGUGAAUAGGGAACACUUCUACACUGCUGGUGGGAAUGUAAACCAGUACAACCACUAUGGAAAACAGCAUGGAGGUUCCCUAAAAUCUAAAAGUAGAACUACCAUUUGAUUCAGCUAUCCCACUGCUGGGUAUCUACCCAGAGGAAAAGAAGUCAUUAUACGAAAAAGAUACUUGCAUAUGCAUAUUUAUAGCAGCACAAUUCACAAUUGCGAAAACAUGGAACCAACCCAAGUGGCCAUCAAUCAACAAGUGGAUAAAGAAACUGUGGUAUAUAUAUAUGUAUAUGAUGGAAUACUACUCAGCCAUAAAAAGGAAUGAAUGAAUGGCAUUUGCAAUGACCUGGAUGAGAUUGGAGACUAUCAUUCUAAGUGAAGUAACUCAGGAAUGGAAAACCAAACAUCAUAUGUUCUCACUCAUAAGUGGGAGCUAGGCUAUGAGGAUGCAAAGGCAUAAGAAUGACACAAUGGACUUUGG
rnacentral:lncRNA from 1 species